CUAACACAGACAUCUGAACAAUGUUCAGUUGUGUUAUGUUCCAUUGACACCUAAUUUCAGAUUUUCUGCAAUGUUACACUUCAAACUUCCGCCUUAUCCAUUAUGAUUCUCGCUCCACAACUGUUUUUAUGAAGAGGCACACAACCAAUCAAAAGGUUUGUGCAUGAAAAACCCAAUAUCUACGGUCCACUACUCCAAAAAGAUUUCUGCAAUGUUACACUUCAAACUUCCGCCUUAUCCAUUAUGAUUCUCCGCUCCAUGAACUGUUUUUAUGAAGAGGCACACAACCAAUCAAAAGGUUUGUGCAUCAAAACCCAAUAUCUCCUGUCCACUACUCCCAAAAGAUUUCUGCAAUUUACUACACAUCAACGUCCCUUCUCCAAUAUGACUCUCCACCCCAUGAACCGUUUUUAUGAAGAGGCACACAACCAAUCAAAAGUGAAUACAAAAUCAUUGUUCAAGUAUCUUCAGAAAAUGUCCCGGCAAAACUCUAAACCGAUGCAGGCAGUCAAUAGUCAAAGAUAUCACAAAUGCAUAACCACAAAAGUAACACAAUUCUAUAUGAAAUGUUGGAUGGAUGGCUUGUAUUAUAUUUGGCCUAUGUACAGCAAACUUAGAUGCCAGCCAAAGGAGGAUGGCUUGCCCCUGCUGAGUCUGGUUCCUCCCAAGGUUUCUCCCUAUACCUCUCUGCUGAUGAUCCUCUUCACUAAUUUAGGGAGUUUUUCCUUGCCACUGUUGCCUUCUGGCUUGCUCACUGGGGUUUUAAGGCACAAUAUUUUCAAUGUAAAUUGUUUGUAA
rnacentral:lncRNA from 1 species